GUCUUGUCAGUGAUGUUAUCCAAAAACAAAUGUCUGAACAUAUGAGUUGCAGUGAUUCUAGGAUUUAACUGAGACAAGAC